UACGUAGGGUGCGAGCGUUGUCCGGAAUUAUUGGGCGUAAAGGGCUCGUAGGCGGUCUGUCACGUCGGGAGUGAAAACACGGGGCUUAACCCCGUGCCUGCUUCCGAUACGGGCAGACUAGAGGUAUGCAGGGGAGAACGGAAUUCCUGGUGUAGCGGUGAAAUGCGUAGAGAUCCGGAAGAACACCGGUGGCGAAGGCGGCUCACUGGCUCAUUACUGACGCUCAGGCGCGAUAGCGUGGGGAUCAAACAGG
rnacentral:rRNA from 1 species